CACGUAGGGCGCAAGCGUUGUCCGGAAUUAUUGGGCGUAAAGAGCUCGUAGGCGGUCUGUUGCGUCUGCUGUGAAAUCCCGGGGCUUAACCCCGGGCGUGCAGUGGAUACGGGCUGGCUGGAGGCAGGGCAGGGGAGAAUGGAAUUCCCGGUGUAGCGGUGAAAUGCGCAGAUAUCGGGAGGAACACCGGUGGCGAAGGCGGUUCUCUGGGCAUUACCUGACGCUGAGGAGCGAAAGUGUGGGGAGCGAACAGG
rnacentral:rRNA from 1 species